AAGGCGGCAUCCGAAAAGCCAUAAUAGAGUAGGAU
rnacentral:ncRNA from 1 species